UUUCCGCGCGGGGGAUUUCUACAUAUCAAUAAGCRKMGKAARWRARACUAMMARGRWUYCCCUAGUAACUGCGAGUGAAGCGGGAAAAGCUCAAAUUUAAAAUCUGGCGGUCUCUGGCCGUCCGAGUUGUAAUCUAGAGAAGUAAUGCCCGUGCUGGACCGUGUACAAGUCUCCUGGGAUGGAGCGUCAUAGAGGGUGAGAAUCCCGUCUCUGACACGGACUACCAGUGCAUUGUGGUAUGCUCUCAACGAGUCGAGUUGUUUGGGAAUGCAGCUCAAAAUGGGUGGUAAAUUCCAUCUAAAGCUAAAUAUUGGCGAGAGACCGAUAGCGAACAAGUACCGUGAGGGAAAGAUGAAAAGAACUUUGGAAAGAGAGUUAAACAGUACGUGAAAUUGCUGAAAGGGAAACGCUUGAAGUCAGUCGCGUUGGCCAGGGAUCAGCCUUGCUCUUGCAUGGUGUACUUUCUGGUUGACGGGUCAGCAUCAAUUUUGACCGCUGGAAAAGUUCUUGGGGAAUGUGGCAGCUCCGGCUGUGUUAUAGCCCCAAGUUGCAUACGGCGGUUGGGAUUGAGGAACUCAGCACGCCGCAAGGCCGGGUUUCGACCACGUUCGUGCUUAGGAUGCUGGCAUAAUGGCUUUAAGCGACCCGUCUUGAAACACGGACCAAGGAGUCUAACAUGCCUGCGAGUGUUUGGGUGGAAAACCCGAGCGCGCAAUGAAAGUGAAAGUUGAGAUCCCUGUCGUGGGGAGCAUCGACGCCCGGACCAGAACUUUUGGGACGGAUCCGCGGUAGAGCAUGUAUGUUGGGACCCGAAAGAUGGUGAACUAUGCCUGAAUAGGGUGAAGCCAGAGGAAACUCUGGUGGAGGCUCGUAGCGAUUCUGACGUGCAAAUCGAUCGUCAAAUUUGGGUAUAGGGGCGAAAGACUAAUCGAACCAUCUASURSMYGGUCCUGCGAGUUUUUCCCUCUUCGAGAA
rnacentral:rRNA from 1 species